rnacentral:rRNA from 1 species
UACGUAGGGGGCAAGCGUUAUCCGGAUUUACUGGGUGUAAAGGGAGCGUAGACGGCCUUGCAAGUCUGGUGUGAAAGCCCGGGGCUCAACCCCGGGACUGCAUUGGAAACUGCAUGGCUGGAGUGCAGGAGAGGUAAGCGGAAUUCCUAGUGUAGCGGUGAAAUGCGUAGAUAUUAGGAGGAACACCAGUGGCGAAGGCGGCUUACUGGACUGUAACUGACGUUGAGGCUCGAAAGCGUGGGGAUCAAACAGG